rnacentral:rRNA from 1 species
GUGUCAGCCGCCGCGGUAAUACGUAGGGCGCAAGCGUUGUCCGGAGUUAUUGGGCGUAAAGAGCUCGUAGGCGGUUUGUCGCGUCGGCUGUGAAAACCCGGGGCUCAACCCCGGGCCUGCAGUCGAUACGGGCAGACUAGAGUGCGGUAGGGGAGACUGGAAUUCCUGGUGUAGCGGUGAAAUGCGCAGAUAUCAGGAGGAACACCGGUGGCGAAGGCGGGUCUCUGGGCCGCUACUGACGCUGAGGAGCGAAAGCGUGGGGAGCGAACAGGAUUAGAAACCCUGGUAGUCC